rnacentral:lncRNA from 1 species
UCCAUUAUCAUAUAUUCCACCAGAUAGCAGAGGAUACUUUGAAGUUUUUCCUUCAGGUUUCUGACCAUUUGGAUUAAGGAAACCACACAUCAGGCCUUCCAGACAGUAUCAAGGAAAGGAAACUUACGAGAUCACCACAUCUGGACAAUAAGAUGAAAGACUCCUCACCUAUCAUGAUCGCAUAAGUGACCACCUGCUUCCUGUUGACCAACUCCUCUUCUUUACCCCUCCCUAAUUCCUGUUUUCCCACACAUAGUUACAUUUCUUCCCUGCUAUACAAACCCUUAGUUUUAGUUGGUUGAGGUGACUAAUUUAAGGCUCAUCUCCCAUUCUCCUCAGCUGUAGCACCCAAAUAAAGCCUUCUUCCCUGGAAAUUCUCAUUGUCUCAGUGAUUGGCUUUCAGGGUGGUGAGCUGCAGGACCUAGACCAAAACCCUGGCAUUUUUAUAACAGUAUGAAUUUUCAGUUGUACAAUUCUUAUAAUGAAGAGUAGUAAUGUAACUUAUAGGUGACUUGGAUUAAAACUAUUGACCGGACUUUUUAGUUUCAAUUACUUAACACUCUAAAUCCUAGUAUAUUUAAAUGUAAAUUAAAUGCUUGCAGCUAAAAACGCAUCUUAAUUCAUAUUAUAGCAGCUUCAGGUUAUGCUUUAUUGAUCUCCAUCCUUUAGUAUUUGUAUGCAACUAUAAGAUAAAUUUUAAAAUUGUGAAAUAAUUAAGGGCAAAUGAGACAAACUGUUUGUUCCUGCCCCCAAAAAAUCUACACUUCUCUUUUUUCUUUUCUUUCUUUCUUUCUUUCUUUUUUUUUUUUUUUUUUUUUUUGAGAUGGAGUUUCACUCUUAUUGCCCAGGCUGGAGUGCAAUGACAUGAUCUCGGCUCACCGCAACCUCCACCUCCUGGGUUCAAGCAAUUCUCCUGCCUCAGCCUCUCAAGUAGCUGGGAUUACAGGCAUGCGCCACCACACCUGGAUAAUUUUGUAUUUUUAGUAGAGAUGGGGUUUCUCCAUCUUGGUCAGGCUGUUCUCGAAUACCCGACCCCAGGUGAUCCACCAACCUCGGCCUACCAAAGUGCUGGGAUUACAGGAGUGCGACACUGUGCCUGGCCCUCUUUUUUUCUUUUGUAAUAACAUUUCAACAAUGCACAUAGCCACCCAG